UGUGUGUGUGGGGGGGGGUUAUGUACAGGCACACAUGGUUUCUUAAGGCAAAGUCCUAAAGGCAGAGUUUUCUUUCAGUGUCUGCAGCUCGUUGGAAAACACUUCAACCUGCAACGCCCACUACUCAAUUCUGGUGUUCAGUAAAGCAGCAGGCAUGUAUUUUAUUAGCAAACCAGAAAGAAGGCAUGCAGCAUUCUGCAGAUGAAGAUAAAGAUGGAGGUUGCAGCAACACACCCAGGCUGAAAAUAACCACAGGAUACUACAGAUUUGAUCAGCUACUUCUUCCUUGCAGUUAACUGUUGAACAAAGUACUAUACAACAGCA